UGGGAUUAAGACUUAGUUGUUGUUUUGUCCCACAAGACCUUCAUCCAAGAUUCAUCAAUGAUUGCAAUGCCUAUUAAGUUAGUAGUUUUGUUGGUGAUUACAUGAGCAAAAUGUUGUGAUGACAAUGAAGCUAUAAGAAAGAUUUAUUAAUAGGAUUUGCCCAAUUGCAAAAAUUUAAUUGAAAUUUUUUAAUCACAUUUUUCACAAUAAUUUAAUAAAUGAUGAAAAUGUCAAUUUUGACCUUUGUCAUAGUUUAAUUUGUCUAUUAAUAUUUUUAGUAUGAUAGGUGACAUUUUUUUGUUAAUAGAUGUGAAUUGUAUACAAAUUUAUAAAUUAUAUUUAGUAAAACUUUGCUUUUAAUUUACUUUAAAUAUUCAUAUCAAAUCAAAUACAAAAAAUUGCGUGAAAUUAACACUUUGUUCUUGCAAUCAAACAAAGAAUGGAUUGGUUCAGUUAUUAUACUCGUUUCCAUUGUUUGUUUAAUUGUAUUCUCCGCUGUGUUUCAGUACUGAAUAUAAUCUUUAGGUGGAUCUCUUGGUAAUUUGUGAAUUCAAGGCAAGAUAAAUGACACAGCAAAUAUUGGUGGUGUGAGUGGCACAAAUGUCUCAUUUGGCUGCCGUACGGUAUGUAAUGGCAGUUACUCAACCAGGGCUGUGGAUGGAUAACACAUAUAAAUGGAACGAAUUUGAAUAAGUUGAUGUUGAAAUGACUACUAGCUUUUACAAAAUCAAAUGUAAGUGAAAGAUAAUGCUGCAAAACCCUGAUUGAAGCAAAUGGAAUGUGCAAUAAGAAUAGAAGACAAUGGGAAAUUGUGACUCUGUAAUGUUAUGUUGGGAAGAAAGAAACCUAAUGCACUUUGAAGUUUUUGAAACAAAAUCCUAAUGCCUUAUAUUGUGUCUGUCAUUGGCACAUAAAACUUUAUUUCCUGCAGCAUUAAGCUUUAAUUAUGCUUCAAAUGAGAUGGAUGAUUGUAAUUGAUAGUUAUUUUAGCAGUAAUUUUGUAACCUUUGUUUUAAGAGAUGGGGAUUGUAAUGGAAGCUGUCCGAUAGAUUAAACAAGCUUGGAGAGCACCCUUUUUUGGUCUUCCUCAAAGCUAUAAACAUUAUAUUGUGAUUAAAUAUAAAAUUUGAAUAUGGAUAUGCUAGGCUUUAUAGUUUUUAAUGUUGCCAUUUCAUUUUUUCUUUUCCAUAUUCUUCUUCUCUCUAUUCUUAUGUCCUAUUAUUAUAUUUCUUUUCCCUAGUGGAAAUCAGUCCACUGUCAUUGGU
rnacentral:misc_RNA from 1 species